GAUGCGGGAGCCCCGGGCGGAGAGAGCCGCCGCCGCCCGGCCAUUGCCGCCUGCGCCGCCGCUGCUCAUCCUGCGCCCCGCGCGGCCCUUCCGGAGCGAAGACAAAGGAUGAAGGGACCCAGGGGCAGAGGCGGCGGACGCAGGAAGCGGGGAGGCGGCGCCUUCCAGGCCGGGAUGCUGAGCGGCACCUGUCGCCCCGCCCCGUCCUCAGCGGGGCUGCGCCGGCCCAGGGUGCCCUGAGGUGAGCACCGCCCCUCGCUCUCUCCCGCCCGCCCGGACUUCGGCUUUCCGGAAACUGCGGCCUGCACCCCGCCCCGGCUCCCCCGGAGCUGCGCGGCCUGAGGCCCCGGGGGCUCUGCCGUGCGCUAGCUGAGGAGACGCUGCGCAUCGCCGGGAGCCAGAGCCUGUCCCCGAGGCUCGCCCGGGAGCCGGGCCCAGGGAGAUCGCCGCGCCCUGAGCUGGUCCCUUACGCGUGUCAAGCCCAGACGGGGUUGUGUCAAAACGGCCGGGGUCGGUUCUGAUCUGGCAAAUGAAAUACUGUGGUGGCUGCCAGAUGGACUUCAGUGGAGCUCCAGGAGAGACCUCCCUUUCUUUGGGGUACUCUAAAGUAUUCUAAAACUUCUGAGAUGGAAAAAUCCAUAGGAGACAGGUGUUGGUGAGUGCACCAAUGGUAAAAUCUUUUUCAUUUCUGAAGGUAAGUUUUCCUGGCGGAUUCUUUUCUACUGUUCAGCAGGACCUCCUGCACCUCCCUGGAACAGGAGAGCUCUAUCUCUGACAACUAUCCAGGUACCAGGCUUUGAGUCAGAGUUUUGAGAUAGGGGUGAAGAAUGUUCCCUGGGUCCCACAAGAGAAGGCUGGGCAUCAAUGGUAAAUUGAUAGCCAGUCAAGAGGAGUAGUGAAGGAGAUAAGGGAACCAUACUUAUCUUGGCCAGGGUGGUGCAAUCAAAAUGCCUGUGGCUCUGUCCUGUCUGGUUUUGUUCAGGUCCCUGAGGAUUAGUAGCAUUGGAGGAAAGACAUAUAGAAGGUUCUUUGACCACAAGAGGAGAAAGUCAAGCCCCCAAGAACAAUGACCCAGACCUCCCCUCGAGCAGAAGUUCAUGAAUCUUCAGCUGGGAACAAUGGCAAAGAGAUCUAUUGCUGGAAAACCCCAGUAGGAAGAAGGACUUUGUGAUGCUGAGCUGAAGACCGAGCCUUGCAAAUAGAGAGAUGACGUUAAAACUCAGUUCUGGAGGGUGAGUGAGCUGCAGAUGAUGAGAGAGGGUUAUGGUCAUUCGGAGCAUGCUGGAAAGUGUGGGUCUCCAGGCCAGGGUCUGAAGUCUGGCAGAGGGAGCAUUCCACCACUAGAAGACAGAGUUUUAUUUCCCUUUACCUCCUACAGCAGCUUAUGAAAGUCAUGUCGCUCUUGCACUUAGUGGGCAUGUGUGUAUGCCCGAAGCAGUGCAUACAUUGUAAAGGACUCCCAGCAAGUGAUGCAACAUUUGAAGCAUGGAGACUCCAGCAUACCCCAAAGACAAAACAAGCUUCAUUAAACUACAAAAGAAUAAAAAUGGACUAGAAACUAGUUAACAGGCAGAAUUGUAAAUGAAUGCUAUUGGACACACUGUCUCAGCAAACUGGGAUCCAACAUAAAAAUAUUCUCCGAUCUAUUUUCUUCAGCGUGAGAAGGAUGUUCUACACUAAGGAUAAACUCUUCCAUUCCUGUGGAAACACACUGAACAACUAUCAAGAUUUCAAAUUAACUCUAUUUUUCUUCAGCACAAGAUGAACCCAGUAAUAUUUUUUUUAAAUAAAUGUAAUCUAAAAUGAAUAAAUUAAACUAAGAUCACUGUUGAAGAUUGACGUACAUCUACAAUUUAAAUGGAAGGAAGCAUCUGUUAUGUCUCUCAGUAUACAAACACCAUUUAAAAAAAGAAAUGUUGCCUAAAGAGAUUUCAUAAUACAGAGAGAAUACAGACAUAGUUUU